AGAGUUUGAUCCUGGCUCAGAACGAACGCUGGCGGCAGGCCUAACACAUGCAAGUCGAACGAUGCCUUCGGGCAUAGUGGCGCACGGGUGAGUAACACGUGGGAACAUACCUUUUGGUGGGGGAUAACUUCGGGAAACUGAAGCUAAUACCGCAUACGCCCCUUGGGGGAAAGAUUUAUCGCCGAAAGAUUGGCCCGCGUCCGAUUAGCUAGUUGGUGAGGUAAUGGCUCACCAAGGCUCCGAUCGGUAGCUGGUCUGAGAGGAUGACCAGCCACACUGGGACUGAGACACGGCCCAGACUCCUACGGGAGGCAGCAGUGGGGAAUAUUGGACAAUGGGCGCAAGCCUGAUCCAGCCAUGCCGCGUGAGUGAUGAAGGCCUUAGGGUUGUAAAGCUCUUCACCCACGACGAUGAUGACGGUAGUGGA
rnacentral:rRNA from 1 species